rnacentral:rRNA from 1 species
GACAGAGGGGGCAAGCGUUGCUCGGAAUUACUGGGCGUAAAGGGUGCGUAGGCGGCGCGGUAAGUCGGGUGUGAAAUCUUGGAGCUUAACUCCGAAACUGCAUUCGAUACUGCCGUGCUUGAGGACUGGAGAGGAGACUGGAAUUUACGGUGUAGCGGUGAAAUGCUUAGAUAUGACAUAGAACACCAAUUGCGAAGGCAGCUGGCUACACAAAUAUUGACACUGAGGCACGAAAGCGUGGGGAUCAAACAGG